CACAACUAAAACACCUUACAUACAUGUACAUACCUCUAUUUUAUCCUUGUACGGAAAUGAGAGCAAUGCUUAAAAGUGUCAACUCCAUGUGACAGCAAGAUAGUUCUUAGUUUCAAAUCCAGCA
rnacentral:lncRNA from 1 species